GGAAUAUCUUGUUUGCAUUUUGGGGGGUUUAAAGUUGGGUAUUUAAGUUUCCGUUGUUUGAGGUUUUGAGAUACUUGGUGGAGAAUUCAGGGGUCUGGAUCAGAAGAAGCUUCUGGAUCUUUAAGUCAUUCUGCAAAACUGGAAGAGGUGAACUGAAAUUUGGAUUUUGGGGAAACAAUGGUUUGUAGCUGAUGCUAAACUGGAUAUGCAACAAUGUCAAGGAUCACUAAGUGGAAGCUUGAGAAGAAUAAAGUGAAAGUGGUCUUUCG
rnacentral:misc_RNA from 1 species